CAGUUUAUCACAUCAAGUCACAAGUCACAUUUGAGCAUAUUGGUCUUCUUCCCCACGUACUAGAUGCUUUAAAUGAGCAAGCUUUCAAGCCAAAGAUACGAGCUUCUUAUCUUGAAAAGGAACGAAAUGUUGUG